AAAAUUGUUAGCUAAAGUGAACUGCGUACAUGAACAUACAAUAAUAUCAAAAUAACAGUGGGUGUGGAACAAUCAUUUAUUUAUUCUCGUGUCUUCUUUGCUCUAGUCACACUUGACAACAUUUCUAUAAAUUCCAUUUUAGAUGUAAAUGAAUGCGCUGCCGAUAACUUAAAUUCCUGCCACAGAACGCUAGCUGUUUGUACAAAUACAGUCGGAAGUUAUACUUGUCGAUGCAAACCAGGAUACAUAGGGAAUGGUCGCAGCUGCACAGGUCAGUGAUGAAAAUAUUUUUAAAAAUUUUGAUUUUCUAGGCAAUUGAACAUAUCAUUCAGUUUCUAAUUCGUUCAUAAGAAGGAAAUUUUUGCAAUUUUACUAUACGGUUGAUAUAACGCAGAACUUAUCCAAAUAUAACUGGUUUUUUUCAAUUUCCAUUAAAAACAUCUGAAAUUCUUUUUGUGAAGUAUAUAUAGCUGACACCUAUACUCCUAUAUGAGUGUGGAUAUACUAAGCAGCUACAACUCUAACUGUAUCCAUACAUUUAUAUAAAUACCACAACUCGGUCAUAGCUUUCUAAUAACUCAAACUUUAUUUACAACAAAGGUAUUUACAACGUAAUGUUUAGCAUUUUUCGAAGAUACUAAAUCAUUUGAAGAUGAAAGACAUGACAUAAGAUUCACAAAGCAAGAUUGAUAAAUUGGCUAAGUGAACUGCGUACAGCUAGUACAUCAGGAACAUAAUAAAGGGGGGGGGGGGGAGUUUUCCGGCCAUACCAUUUUUCACAAACUUUCCCAUUAAUGUAUCGUAAUUUCUUAACUUUUCCCGUAAUUUUCGUAAAUGUAGCAAAAUUUUUGCAAUAACUAUUACUUUUUAUUCCGAGCCACUCAGAUAUUUUCGCUGACUACGAAAAAUACGUUCUUUUUAAUAGAGCAUUAAAUAGCCAACAACCCCUUCACGUGUCGCCUGCCUGUCACGACGCACGCGUCACUUGACAUUGGUCCUGAACAUUAUAGGUCCCUUGACAUUGGUUUCCUGCCGUUUUGGGUAAAUCGUAAAGAAGCCCUGUAUAAGAUUAAUAAUUUAAUUCAAUGAAGAACUAUAGCAAGAAACCAUUUUUCAGGUAGUUCAGUUCUGCACUGAACAAUUGAUAAGCUGCAGAGCUAGUCAGUGUUCACAAGGGUCCUCGAAGCAUCAGAUGAGCCAAUCAUAGAAUUGGUACGUCAAAGUAAAAUAUUAACUACUAGUACAGAAAGCGUAAUAGAAGUGAGCUUUUAUCUUUGAGUACAUGUGAGAAACAUAUAGAAUCGUUUUGUCAAUUGAAAACAAGAUCGCAGACGUCCGAGGUGUUAAGUAGGACCGCAAUGUAUAUCAGUACGUCAGUGGGUCUAACCAUCCCUUCCCGACUUUGACGAUUUUAUAUUUUGCAAGAUUUCUAUAAAUUCCAUUUUAGAUAUAAAUGAAUGUGAUGGCAAUACAGAUUCCUGCCACAGAACGCUUGCUGAUUGUACAAAUACAGACGGAAGUUAUACUUGUCGAUGCAAAGUAGGAUACGCAGGGAAUGGUCGCAGGUGCACAG
rnacentral:lncRNA from 1 species